rnacentral:rRNA from 1 species
CCUACGGGUGGCAGCAGUGGGGAAUAUUGGACAAUGGGCGAAAGCCUGAUCCAGCCAUGCCGCGUGUGUGAAGAAGGCCUUCGGGUUGUAAAGCACUUUCAGUGGGGAAGAAAGCCUUGGGGCUAAUACCCUCGAGGAAGGACAUCACCCACAGAAGAAGCACCGGCUAACUCCGUGCCAGCAGCCGCGGUAAUACGGAGGGUGCGAGCGUUAAUCGGAAUUACUGGGCGUAAAGCGCGCGUAGGCGGUCUGAUAAGCCGGUUGUGAAAGCCCCGGGCUCAACCUGGGAACGGCAUCCGGAACUGUCAGGCUAGAGUGAAGGAGAGGAAGGUAGAAUUCCCGGUGUAGCGGUGAAAUGCGUAGAGAUCGGGAGGAAUACCAGUGGCGAAGGCGGCUUUCUGGACUGUAACUGACGCUGAGGUGCGAAAGCGUGGGUAGCAAACAGGAUUAGAUACCCUAGUAGUC